rnacentral:rRNA from 1 species
CCUACGGGAGGCAGCAGUGGGGGAUAUUGCACAAUGGGGGGAACCCUGAUGCAGCGACGCCGCGUGGGUGAAGGAGCGUUUCGGCGCGUAAAGCCCUAUCGGCAAGGAAGUAGAUGACGGUACCUGACCAAGAAGCCCCGUCUAACGACGUGCCGGCAGCCGCGGUAAUACGUAGGGGGCCAGCGUUAUCCGGAGUUACUGGGCGUAAAGGGGGCGCAGACGGGUAUGCAAGCCAGGAGUGAAAGCCCGGGGCACAACCCCGGGACUGCUGUUGGAACUGGAUGGCUGGAGUACAUGCGGGGCAGGCGGAAUUCCUAGUGUAGCGGUGAAAUGCGUAGAUAUUAGGAGGAACACCGGUGGCGAAGGCGGCCUGCUGGACUGUGACUGACGUUGAGGCCCGAAGGCGUGGGGAGCAAACAGGAUUAGAUACCCUGGUAGUC